rnacentral:tRNA from 1 species
GUGCGGGGUUGCCAAGUGGUUAAAGGCGCAGGGCUUAGGACCCUGUCACGAAGGUGUCGCGGGUUCGACUCCCGUCUCCGCACU